UAAGCGGAGGAAAAGAAACUAACAAGGAUUCCCCUAGUAACUGCGAGUGAAGCGGGAAAAGCUCAAAUUUAAAAUCUGGUGGUCUUUGGCCAUCCGAGUUGUAAUCUAGAGAAGCGUCUUCCGCGCUGGACCGUGCACAAGUCUCCUGGAACGGAGCGUCGUAGAGGGUGAGAAUCCCGUCUUUGGCAUGGACACACCAGGGCUUUUGUGAUGCGCUCUCGAAGAGUCGAGUUGUUUGGGAAUGCGGCUCAAAAUGGGUGGUGAACUCCAUCUAAAGCUAAAUAUUGGCGAGAGACCGAUAGCGAACAAGUACCGUGAGGGAAAGAUGAAAAGCACUUUGGAAAGAGAGUGAAACAGUACGUGAAAUUGUUGAAAGGGAAACGCUUGAAGUCAGUCGCGUCGACCGAGACUCAGCCUCGCCUCGGCUUGGUGUACUUCUCGGCCCGACGGGUCAGCAUCAAUUUCGCCUCUUGGAUAAUGGCGAGGGAAACGUGACACCUUUACGGUGUGUUAUAGUCUCUCGUCGCAUGCAAGGGUCGGGAUUGAGGAACUCAGCACGCGCCUUUGGGCGUCGGGGCUUUGCCUACGAUACGUGCUUAGGAUGUUGGCGUAAUGGCUUUAAACGACC
rnacentral:rRNA from 1 species